AGAACGAACGCUGGCGGCAUGCCUAACACAUGCAAGUCGGACGCUUUCGGGGGUUUCGGCCUCCGAGGGAGUGGCGGACGGGUGAGUAGCGCGUGGGAACCUGCCCCUUUGUGGGGGAUAACCGAGGGAAACUUCGGCUAAUACCGCAUGCGCCCGGGGGUAACUCCGGGGAAAGAUUUAUCGCAGAGGGAGGGGCCCGCGUCGGAUUAGGUAGUUGGUGGGGUAACGGCCUACCAAGCCGGUGAUCCGUAGCUGGUCUGAGAGGAUGAUCAGCCACACUGGGACUGAGACACGGCCCAGACUCCUACGGGAGGCAGCAGUGGGGAAUAUUGGACAAUGGGCGCAAGCCUGAUCCAGCCAUGCCGCGUGGAUGAUGAAGGCCUUAGGGUUGUAAAGUCCUUUUAAACGGGGAAGAUAAUGACGGUACCCGUAGAAUAAGCCCGGCUAACUUCGUGCCAGCAGCCGC
rnacentral:rRNA from 1 species